rnacentral:rRNA from 1 species
GACGUAGGGUGCGAGCGUUGUCCGGAUUUAUUGGGCGUAAAGAGCUCGUAGGCGGUCUGUCGCGUCGAAUGUGAAAACCCGGGGCUCAACUCCGGGCUUGCAUUCGAUACGGGCAGGCUAGAGUUCGGUAGGGGAGUCUGGAAUUCCUGGUGUAGCGGUGAAAUGCGCAGAUAUCAGGAGGAACACCGGUGGCGAAGGCGGGACUCUGGGCCGAUACUGACGCUGAGACGCGAAAGCGUGGGGAGCGAACAGG